GAUGAACGCUAACGGCAGGCUUAACACAUGCAAGUCGAGGGGUAGAGUUAGCUUGCUAACUUGAGACCGGCGCACGGGUGCGUAACGCGUAUGCAAUCUACCUUUUACAGAGGGAUAGCCCAGAGAAAUUUGGAUUAAUACCUCAUAGUAUCUUUGCCUGGCAUCAGGUGAUUAUUAAAGUUCCAACGGUAAAAGAUGAGCAUGCGUCCUAUUAGCUAGAUGGUAAGGUAACGGCUUACCAUGGCAACGAUAGGUAGGGGUCCUGAGAGGGAGAUCCCCCACACUGGUACUGAGACACGGACCAGACUCCUACGGGAGGCAGCAGUGAGGAAUAUUGGACAAUGGGCGCAAGCCUGAUCCAGCCAUGCCGCGUGCAGGAAGAAGCAUCUAUGGUGUGUAAACUGCUUUUGUACGGGAAGAAACACUCCCUCGUGAGGGAGCUUGACGGUACCGUAAGAAUAAGGAUCGGCUAACUCCGUGCCAGCCGCCGCUGUAAAAC
rnacentral:rRNA from 1 species